UCUGUGCAAAGAAGAAAAGCAUUGGCUGGCAUGCUGCAGUCCAUGGGGUCGCAAAGAGUCGAACACAACUGAACGACUGAAUUGAACUGAAUCCUAUUGGAACCCACAGGAAUAUUUUACAGCUUCCUAGGGAAACUCCUAAAAAAAGGAGGAGAGAAGGAACAACUUCUAUCUUGGGAUUAAAGAGCAAAGAGACGAAGGCAGAAACAAAGACCCCUGCCUCUUCCUCCUCAGCAAGCACCCCCUUCAGCUACUGACUCAUAUGUACUCACAGCACUCAAGGACGGUUCACCUCCAUUUGUUCUGCCUUCUCUCUAUGAGGAAUGCACAGAGACCUGGAAACUGGCCGGGACAGACAGAGAAACUUGAUGGGUUUGUGAGAUGCCGCAGAUGCAGCAGCAGCAGGAAUCUAGCCAAGAACAAAGACCACAGUGCUACGUUCCCUGAUAAACGUAUGGCUUCAAAUUCCUUAUUUUUCUUCUUAGAAUCUACCCUGUUCAUCUGUCCUUUUAAAACUUUGUUUUCAGCACAUUGUAAAUCUGAAAAAACAAAAAAGACUGACUACAAGAGAACCAGUGGCCAGCAAUACCAUGUGCUACUGGACAAAGUUGAAAUUCAGAAUUCACAAUACAAGUGGCGUGAAGCAACAGAGACAAUGAAAGUUUAA
rnacentral:lncRNA from 1 species